GGCCCGCACAAGCGGUGGAGCAUGUGGUUUAAUUCGACGCAACGCGAAGAACCUUACCAGGUCUUGACAUCCUCGGAACUUGGCAGAGAUGCCUUGGUGCCUUCGGGAGCCGAGUGACAGGUGCUGCAUGGCCGUCGUCAGCUCGUGUCGUGAGAUGUUGGGUUAAGUCCCGUAACGAGCGCAACCCUUGUCCUUAGUUGCCAGCACGUAAUGGUGGGAACUCUAGGGAGACUGCCGGUGACAAACCGGAGGAAGGUGGGGACGACGUCAGGUCAUCAUGGCCCUUACGACCUGGGCUACACACGUGCUACAAUGGCUGGUACAGAGGGUCGCGAAGUCGCGAGGCGAAGCUAAUCCCUUAAAGCCAGUCGUAGUCCGGAUCGGAGUCUGCAACUCGACUCCG
rnacentral:rRNA from 1 species